CCCAACUCGCCGCACACCCAGUUACAUAAUCCUCCUCGCUGUGGCUGGGGUGGGGGAGCCGUUUUGCAGGAAUCCGACUUCCCCCCAGUCCACUGGAGUGCUCCCUGCGGGAAGUACACGAAGGCUCACCUCAGUGGCCAGGAAGCCCUGAGUGGCCCACCCUCUUCUGGCCAUAGUCUCCAAGUCUCCUCAAAUCAAACAGGCUCGUUGUAAACAAAGGCAAAACGUUACAGAACUACGUGAUUUAUGAAGCGAGAGGCUGGUAAUCAACUCCCCAAGGAGUAGAGUUUGGUAAUCCUCCGGUGUCCGCUUCCAGCUUUCUCUCCACGUCGCCGGAGAUCAGGUCUGGCCCGGCGGGCCCUCCCCCAGGGGCCGGGACCGGAACGCCAGGCCGGAAGGAACAGGGCCGGGCCCCGCCGCAGCAGUGCAGCCUCGGCCGUGCCCCACGCCACCGUCCCGGGGGCGGCCGUGCUGCCCCGCGCCUGGCCCGGCUGGGCCGGGUGGGGCCCGGGGAAGCCGCUACGUCAGGAGGCGGACGGGAGGGAGCCCGCGCCGCCCCAGCCAGGCUUCCAUUACAUCACUCGGCGGCGCGGAGCCGCGCCGGGGUAAACACCGCUGCAAACCAUUGGCCACCUUGCGGCCCUUCCAACCAAUUACACGAUUGUAUGCAAAUCA